UGCCACAGUAUACUUUUCAAGAUGUUGCCAGAUUUUGGUUAACCGUUUCAGUUACUACUUCAGUACCUACGGAUACAACGUCAAAAGUUGGUACUCUUAAACUUAGGACUAGGUUUUAGUUUCUUCGGAAGUUUUAAAAGUAAGGGUUGUGUGAAAUGUUGAUUUAACGAACACCUCGGACGUUUUAAGUCGUGGUCCAGAACGGAAGCUCUCAAGUUCUCUUAGUUGUGUCCUUUGUUGGA
rnacentral:rRNA from 1 species